GAUGAAGAACGUAGCGAAAUGCGAUAAUUAAUGUGAAUUGCAGAAUUCCGUGAAUCAUCGAGUCUUUGAACGCACAUUGCGCCUCAUGGCAUUCCGUGAGGCAUGCCCAUCUCAGCGUUAGAAAAUAUUCUCAAAUUUUAGUUUUGUGCUAAAAUUUGGAUCAUGUCAAAGAAGCUAUUACUAUUAUUGUGAUCGCUCUUUGGAAAUUGAUAGGUCUUUGAGUUGCUACUCAUAGAACGUGAUGAAUCUUUCUUCGUUCUAUUGUAAUUCACUCUGGUAGUCCUAAAACUUGUAUGCCUGUGGCAUAUCUUGUAAUUUGACCUGAGAUUGGGUAGGGAUACCCGCUGAACUUAAGCAUAUCAAUAACGGAGGA
rnacentral:misc_RNA from 1 species